GUUCUUCCCUUGGCUUUAGAGCCCCGAAGCGCUCUUUGACUUGAGCUGCUUUGCAUUCUCUCUGUCCUGCCAUCGAGAAAGUUCUGAGCGGCUCAGAAGUAAUACUGACACUGUCAACGGAGGGGGACUGCAGUUUCGCUGGUGGCCCCACAGCCCCCUGCCUCCAGCCAGGGGACAAAGAACAGGAGGGAUCCAGAGGCUGGACCAAGUCCUGAGUUCCUAAACCACCUUCAGGGCUGCCUGCACCUGCACCUAUCCCUCCGAGGAAUUCUGCCCCAGACAGCAGAGAGAUGGGGGGCAGGGGACACAUGGCCAUGAGGACAGAGAGCCCUGAGAGGGACUGGGGAAUCGAGACAUCGUUUUCAAAUAAUUGCAGCAAUCAAGAGAGACUGUACAUCCCAUCCCAGACAAAGGGAGACCUGAAAUGAGAGAAUGGAGCUGGGCGCAGUGGUUCA
rnacentral:lncRNA from 10 species